AUUGAACGCUGGCGGCAGGCUUAACACAUGCAAGUCGAGCGGGGUGAUGGUGCUUGCACUAUCACUUAGCGGCGGACGGGUGAGUAAUGCUUAGGAAUCUGCCUAUUAGUGGGGGACAACAUCUCGAAAGGGAUGCUAAUACCGCCUACGUCCUACGGGAGAAAGCAGGGGAUCACUUGUGACCUUUCGCGAAUAGAUGAGCCUAAGUCGGAUUAGCUAGUUGGUGGGGUAAAGGCCUACCAAGGCGACGAUCUGGAGCGGGUCUGAGAGGAUGAUCCGCCACACUGGGACUGAGACACGGCCCAGACUCCUACGGGAGGCAGCAGUGGGGAAUAUUGGACAAUGGGGGGAACCCUGAUCCAGCCAUGCCGCGUGUGUGAAGAAGGCCUUAUGGUUGUAAAGCACUUUAAGCGAGGAGGAGGCUCUUUUGGUUAAUACCCAAGAUGAGUGGACGUUACUCGCAGAAUAAGCACCGGCUAACUCUGUGCCAGCCGCCGCGGUAA
rnacentral:rRNA from 1 species